UGCAAGUCGAACGAGAUCUUCGGGUCUAGUGGCGCACGGGUGCGUAACGCGUGGGAAUCUGCCCUUUGGUUCGGAAUAACAGUUGGAAACGACAGCUAAUACCGGAUGAUGACGAAAGUCCAAAGAUUUAUCGCCAGAGGAUGAGCCCGCGUAGGAUUAGCUAGUUGGUGUGGUAAAGGCGCACCAAGGCGACGAUCCUUAGCUGGUCUGAGAGGAUGAUCAGCCACACUGGGACUGAGACACGGCCCAGACUCCUACGGGAGGCAGCAGUGGGGAAUAUUGGACAAUGGGCGAAAGCCUGAUCCAGCAAUGCCGCGUGAGUGAUGAAGGCCUUAGGGUUGUAAAGCUCUUUUACCCGGGAUGAUAAUGACAGUACCGGGAGAAUAAGCUCCGGCUAACUCCGUGCCAGCAGCCGCGGUAAUACGGAGGGAGCUAGCGUUGUUCGGAAUUACUGGGCGUAAAGCGCACGUAGGCGGCUUUGUAAGUUAGAGGUGAAAGCCUGGAGCUCAACUCCAGAACUGCCUUUAAGACUGCAUCGCUUGAAUCCAGGAGAGGUGAGUGGAAUUCCGAGUGUAGAGGUGAAAUUCGUAGAUAUUCGGAAGAACACCAGUGGCGAAGGCGGCUCACUGG
rnacentral:rRNA from 1 species